UCUUCUUAAUUUUUUAGGGUUCCUGACCACCACUCUCAAUUUCACAAACCCAAACCCUAGCAGCUUCACAUUUCCUGACCACUUUCAACCCUCACAAUAUUGAAAAUGAAAAAUAAGAGGGAUUUAGGGUAAGAGUACCUGUGACUAUCGGGCUUCACGUUCCCUCUUCUUCUUCAACAUGAACGGUGGCCACCUACCACUCUGAUCAAAUCUCGCCGCUGUGAUUCGUUCGCAUAUCGAUUCCUCCAUCUCAAUCGAUCCCUCUCUGUUCUCUCAAUCUCGAAGCCUCUGAUCUCAUCUCCGAUUCUAUUCUCGACAUCACUCGCUCCUCAUCUCCGCUUGCUCUCUCAUCAUGAACGGCGCGCGACGGAGAACUCCACCUUCUCCGAUGAAAUAUCAAAUUACCUCCGGGGACAUUGCCCUCAAUCUCCUCUCCGCCUCUCAAUUUCGUCUCUCAAUUGAUUCAAUCCCUCGAUUCUCUCCGCUCAGUUCCGAAUCGUUGUUGUUAUGAUGAUGGAGGUCGAGCGAAGUUGUUGAAGCUGAAAGAUGAUGACGAACGUGAUUGUUGUUGUGAUAUGGUUGUUGAAUUGUUCUUGAUAUUAUGAUCUAAUGUUGUUUGAUGCAGAUGCGUGGAGAUGGUUGUGGGGAUGUGAAUCAGUCUGUUGAAGAUUGUUGAGUUUUUUCUGGUUUUUUGAUCAAGAUUGGUACAAAGAUGAAGGUGAUGAUGAAAGUGUGAUGAAGAUUCAAGAGCAGAGUUGAUUUCUGAUUGAAGAUGAUGUUGAUUUCAGAAGAUUGAAAGUGUGGAGAAGAUGAAGAAGAUGGAUGGAGAAUGGUGGGUAGAUGGAUGGAGAAGAAGGUUCAAAGGAUGAUGAAGAUUGGAGAAGGUGAUUGAAGAUUUCAGAAUUGAUGGAGAAGGUUGAUUGAAAAUGGUUAAAGAAGAGAAUCUGAAUUGGAGGAAAAAGUCCCUUUUUUAUAGAGGUUGAUGAAGCUGUGACAGUUAGAGGUCAGUUAUAGCUUGAGCUUGUUAGUUCUUACUGUUUCAACUGAACCCUGAAUUGUAUGCAAUCGUGUGAUGAGAUUGUGAGGCCUUGAUUGUGCAAGUUGUUGAGUUUUUCUUUUGAACUGAUGUGUGCAAGUUUGUGACUGAUGUAAACACUUGGUAUCGAUUUAUGUGUGGAAUUCUGAAGUGGAACUUGAGGUGAUGAAGGUUCUGAAGAUUACAGGGAGAAUUGAGAAUGGCGGUGAUCGAAGAUUCUCAAGAAAAUUUGUUACAGUUAUGCCUGUCUGUUAUAGGAUGGAAAGUGAAUUUGGUUGAGUCGUUUCGGAUUUAAUUGCAGGCACGGUUUAAUUGCAGCUCCGGUCCUCUUUUGGUUUCAAAUUGCAGGUACUGCACUAUAUGGCUUUACGGAUCGAUACUGCAAGCUGGUGUAUGCGGGCAGCAGGCUGCUUUAUUGUGUUGGAUUUUGUUUAUGAGUAUUUCAACGACCAAGAUAUAGAAGUAGCGUUGAUGUUAACUUGACAAGUAUAAUGGGCUUGGUGGCAGUCACAUGGCUGAAUCGUUUAAGAAGGCAUCUUCCAGCCAUACAUAAAAGCUCUGUACAACGUGAAAAGUAUUAAAGAACACACGUGUUUUUAUGGAGAAACUUUUGGUGAUGGGUGGAGACGAAGAAGAUUGUGAUGAAGAUAUGGAAGAAGCUUGUGAUGAUCAUGAAGAUGUGGAAGAAGGUUGUGCUGAAGAUGUGGAAGAAGGUUGUCCUGAAGAUGUGGAAGAAGAACAAGGAGAAGAUCAAGAAGAAUAGUUGUGUUUUAUAUUACUAGCUAGCUAGUUCUUAGAACUUUUUUUGUUAUUUUGGGAUGACUCUUUGAGAGAAACUUGUGUUUCAUUUAGCUCUUGUUUUGAAUCCCAUGGUUGUUUUGAAUUUUGAAUCUGUGAUGACAUCAAAACUUAGUAUCCAACUUAUUAGUGGCACUACAAAAAAAACUUACUUUUGACGUUAAUGUUAAUUUGCUUGUAAUCAA